rnacentral:rRNA from 1 species
UUUUCUUUUCGGAUCCGAAGCGACGAUCGAGUACAAGGGCGGGGACGUUUGAAUGGCUGCGCUACAUGUGAAUUGCAUGGACCGUAGCCAGACUCACUAAAGGGAAAGCAUUCGUCAAGCAUGCCAUCCUUGGCCAUGAGCGAAAGUCAUAGGCUCGAAUACCAUCCUAUACCGGCCUAGGUCUGACCGUAGACGAUGCCAACUGAAGAUCCGUGGCGGUAGUCUUCGGACCUUCCCCACGGGCAGUCCCCGGGAAAGCUUUAUUUCUUUGGGUUCCGGGGGAAGUAUGGAUGCAAAGCUGAACCUGAAAGGAAUUGACGGAGGGGCACCACCACGAGUGGAUCCUGCGGCUUAAUACGAGUCAACACAGGGAAAUGCACCAGGGCCGGACACUAUGAAGAUUGACGCAUUGAUAGCUCUUUCUUAAUCUGGCGGUUGACGGUGCAUGGCCGUUCUUAGUUGGUGGAGCGAUUUGUCUGGAUAAUUGCGAUAACUAACGAGACUCCAGCUCGCUCGUUACUGAAUUUGACCACUGCACCAGCCGAGCGGCGCACUGUCAACUGCUUGGGUUCAGAGUGAGAUUCAGUGCGUUUGUGCAGUCUACAUAGGUGAGGCUGGUCUGCAGUUUCUCUGUGUAUGGCUGUACGGCGUAUUAGGCCCGCAUGAUGUACUCUGGUGGAUGGCACCACGUUACCUAGCAGGUGCAGCGCGAAUGCUUCCUUCUUAGAGGGACACGCGGGAGAAGCCGCACGAAAUAGAGCAAUAACAGGCCUGUGACGUCCUGGCACGUCCGGGGCCGCACUCGGCUACGUGGCUGGUGUCAACGACUUAGAUCUCAUGGCCUGAAAAGGUUGGAUAAACUGGUAAUCACCGGCAUGACUGGGAUCGGGGCUUGGAAUUGUUCCCCUCGAACGCAGAAUUCCUACGAACUGCAAGUCAUAAGCUUGCGCUGAUUACGUCCCUGCCCUUUGUACACACCGCCCGUCACUACUACCGAUUGAAUGGUUAGUA